GACGAACGCUGGCGGCGUGCUUAACACAUGCAAGUCGAACGGAAAGGCCCUGCUUUUGUGGGGUGCUCGAGUGGCGAACGGGUGAGUAACACGUGAGUAACCUGCCCUUGACUUUGGGAUAACUUCAGGAAACUGGGGCUAAUACCGGUUAGGAGCUCCUGCUGCAUGGUGGGGGUUGGAAAGUUUCGGCGGUUGGGGAUGGACUCGCGGCUUAUCAGCUUGUUGGUGGGGUAGUGGCUUACCAAGGCUUUGACGGGUAGCCGGCCUGAGAGGGUGACCGGCCACAUUGGGACGGAGAUACGGCCCAGACUCCUACGGGAGGCAGCAGUGGGGAAUAUUGCACAAUGGGCGGAAGCCUGAUGCAGCAACGCCGCGUGCGGGAUGACGGCCUUCGGGUUGUAAACCGCUUUCGCCUGUGACGAAGCGUGAGUGACGGUAAUGGGUAAAGAAGCACCGGCUAACUACGUG
rnacentral:rRNA from 1 species